rnacentral:rRNA from 1 species
ACAUGCAAGUCGAGGGGCAUCGAGAGGAAAGCUUGCUUCCUGUCGGCGACCGGCGCACGGGUGAGUAACGCGUAUCCAACCUUCCCCUAGUAGGGCAUAGCCCGGCGAAAGUCGGAUUAAUACCCUAUGUUUUCCGAUGAGGACAUCUGAGCUGGAACAAAGAUUUAUCGCUAAGGGAUGGGAAUGCGUCUGAUUAGGUUGUUGGCGGGGUAACGGCCCACCAAGCCUACGAUCAGUAGGGGUUCUGAGAGGAAGGUCCCCCACAUUGGUACUGAGACACGGACCAAACUCCUACGGGAGGCAGCAGUGAGGAAUAUUGGUCAAUGGGCGCGAGCCUGAACCAGCCAAGUAGCGUGCAGGGAAAAGCUGCCCUAUGGGUUGUAAACUGCUUUUAUGCGGGGAUAAAGUGCAGCACGUGUGCUGUUUUGUAGGUACCGCAUGAAUAAGGACCGGCUAAUUCCGUGCCAGCAGCCGC